UACGAAGGGGACUAGCGUUGUUCGGAAUCACUGGGCGUAAAGCGCACGUAGGCGGAUCUUUAAGUCAGGGGUGAAAUCCUGGAGCUCAACUCCAGAACUGCCUUUGAUACUGAGGACCUUGAGUUCGGGAGAGGUGAGUGGAACUGCGAGUGUAGAGGUGAAAUUCGUAGAUAUUCGCAAGAACACCAGUGGCGAAGGCGGCUCACUGGCCCGAUACUGACGCUGAGGUGCGAAAGCGUGGGGAGCAAACAGG
rnacentral:rRNA from 1 species